rnacentral:rRNA from 1 species
UACGAAGGGGGCUAGCGUUGUUCGGAAUUACUGGGCGUAAAGCGCGCGCAGGCGGUGAUCCAUGUCAGAGGUGAAAGCCCGGGGCUCAACUCCGGAAUUGCCUUUGAAACGGGAUCGCUAGAGUCCGAGAGAGGAUGGCGGAAUUCCUAGUGUAGAGGUGAAAUUCGUAGAUAUUAGGAAGAACACCGGUGGCGAAGGCGGCCAUCUGGCUCGGUACUGACGCUCAGGCGCGAAAGCGUGGGGAGCAAACAGG